GGAAAUGUCAUCAAAACAGUUUGCUGAAACAUGAAGAAGAAGCAUCUGCAAUAAAAUUGAUGCAUUAAGCUUCAAACUUCUGAGAUCUGGGGAAACAUCAGCACCAGGACCUUUUUAACAUCUUCAAACUGACAGUGGCUUUUGGCUGGCUAAUCACCCCUGACCCCUUUGACGACACCUGACUGCAUCUUAUUUUAGAAAUCGCAAGCUUAUGUUAAACUGUUCCCGUCUUAUUCAGGAGAUUCAGGAAUGCACAGUUUUCACAGGUAUAAAGCUUGUUAUUUUUCUUAAUUUCUCUCUCAAAGUGAGAGUGAGCUGGGGCUAAUUGCUUCAAGGAAAUUUACACUGAGGUCUGUAUUAUAAAAGGCAAACUAGAUAAAGUUUGUCCAGACGUGAAAAAAGUUUUUAAUUAAGAUAGGAUGUAGCAUAAUUUAACACAUAGUUAGAAUGUUUAGCAUGUUUUAACAUGUUUUUCACAUUGCUAACAUGUUUCUGGCAUAAUUGGCAUGUUGCUAGCAAGUCAUUAGCAUGCUUAGCAUGUUGUUAGCAUGUUUUAACAUUAUUAGCAUGAUGUUAACAUGUUUUAACAUGAUUAGCAUGAUGGUAGCGUGUUGCUGACAUGUUUCUAGAAUGAUUAGCAUGUUAAGAUAUUUAGCAGGCUGUUGUUAGCAUGCCAUUAACAUGUUGGUAUCAUGUUGUUACCAUGAUUAGCAUGUUGAUAGCAUGUUUGUAGCAUUAUUAA